CCCCCACUCACUCCUCUCUGACCCUCACCCAUUGCUCGCCCCUAUGGCUGGGAAAAAGUGAUGGUGCAUGCCCCCUGGCACCCUCUUUGUGGAUUGCAGUGGCGUUUCUGUGAUUGUGUAGGCCCCUAAAAGUUGAACAUUGCAAAUGCUCAGCAUUCCAAUGCCCUAAAUUCCUUUGAAUGAAGCCCCAAGUCGUUACUAGCAAGAUUUGCAGAUUCUAAAGACUGGAGGAGCAUAAAUAAUGAAGAGGGUUACUGAUGCGGAGUCAUCUUGAUUGCUUGGAUACUAUUGCUUGACCCAGCUACCAUUUUGACAUGACCAAUUGUUAUAGGGAAAUAGUUAUCAUUUAAGAACAAAGAAUGUACAUCAUAUUUCCAAGAUAGAGGACUAUUCUGGUAAGCCACAAUUGUGAAAAUGACUAGAAGAGCAUAAUGGAUAAUCAGAUGAACAUUAUAUCCCAGUGAGACACUGUUGGCCAAAAGGGCUAAUGCAAUCCUUGGAUUAUAAAGAGAUGACUGUUACGUAGAAAAGAGGUUAUUACCUGUGUUUAGCAUUGGCAGAACUGGCACUAGAAUUCCUUGUUCAGUUUUCCUGUCCACAGUUCAGGAAGGAUGGUGCUCUCUUCUUCCUCCCUAGCCAUGGUGACCGAUAACAAGGCUUGUUCCAUUGCCACUCUCUGCAAGUGAGAGCUACACCAGGCAGGACCAUCUCUAUGACUCCAAAG